GCAGUCCCAGGGUGAGCGCUCAGGCACGGCCGCCCCCAGCUCCAUUUCCUGCGUGCGGCGUUAUCGGCCCAUCUGCUGCGCGCUCAGCCCGAACUGCCCCUGAUUAAUCGAGCUCUGCUGCCUUUGAUGCGGCAGCCCCGGGACACAGGAAAUGUCCCUGGCAGCGAGACGGAGCCCGGCCAUCCCCUGCUGCCCGGGGCCCUGCGAUCAGCCUACCCUGACCACGCCGGGGCUCUGCCUCCAUCACCUUCCUGCGCUUCAUUCCAGCAGGGCUCAGGAGGGAUACGGGGCCAGGACCCUUCACCUGCACCCCGUUACCCCCAAUACACGAUAAACAUCCUGCAAGCACCAGGGCAGGAUGUGAGCUGUGUCCUCCCAGCCCCCAGAACCUCUUUUCCCACCAACCAUUCUGUGCCCAAGCUACUGCUGAAAAAAUUCAUCUUUGGGCAUGGAUUUCUUUCUUGGUGGUCAGCAGUUUCAUCAGCCAGAGGUGGAUGGAGUGUGACACAUGCAGUGUAGGGAGACCAUAAAUGCUGUUCACCACCCAAAUACCUGAAUAUUUUUGGUGAUUUGGGUUUCUAUCAUUGACUGGGGCUACCAGGGGCUGUGCCCUGGCUCCUCCACACUUUGCCUCGGCAUAAGGCAGGGAGCCCCCACCAUAUCCCAAAACCUGUUCCGUGGUGGAGGUGGCUGCUCCAGGUCCUGCCAGGGGGACGGAGCAGGAGGGAGGUCCCUGCUCACCCCCAGCUCCCUUAUCAGAUGCUGCUGUUAGACCUGGAAGGGGCAAAUACCUCUCUGUUCCUUUGACAACGCUCGGGGCCGAGGCACGGCGUUUAUGACGUUGGCAAACACCUGAUAGCCAGGGCCAGUCCCUAAUGACAUGUCACGGGAGCCUCCUGGCGUCUCCUUAUCUGCGCCUGAUGAUGUUUGCUGUGCAAGGUCACCCCGCCCCUGCCGGGCCCGCCGGGGGGACCCCCGGGAUGGGCAGGGAUGGGGAAGGGGCCCUGCAGUGGGAUGGAUGUGGCGGGGGGGGCUCUGUCCCUGGAGAUGAGAGCAUUGCUGGGGAUGAGCCCCGGCACUGCUCCCACCCCAGCCGAGCUCAGCCCCACGCCUGGCUGCUCCCGGGCACAAACACGACUCCUGGCACAGCCUGGGCACAAACAGGACCUUUUCUGGCGUUAUUAUUUUUGGGAGGGGUGGCAAUAGCUGGCUAAGAAAGUAUUUUCUCACUGGCUCCCCCAUAGGGGUGCCAGGGAGGGCUGGGGGCUGAGCAGGGCAGCACCAAGGUGGUCACAGAGCAGGGCAGGAGGGGAUGCAGGGAUGCAGGAGGGGAUCAGGGAUGCAGGAGAUGAUGCAGGGAUACAGGAGGUGAUGCAGGGAUACAGGAGGUGAUGCAGGAGGUGAUGCAGGGAUACAGGAGGUGAUGCAGGAGGGGAUGCAGGGAUACAGGAGGUGAUCAGGAGGUGAUGCAGGAGGGGAUGCAGGGAUACAGGAGGUGAUCAGGAGGUGAUGCAGGGAUACAGGAGGGGAUGCAGGGAUACAGGAGGUGACCAGGAGGUGAUGCAGGGAUACAGGAGGUGAUGCAGGAGGGGAUGCAGGGAUACAGGAGGUGAUCAGGAGGUGAUGCAGGGAUACAGGAGGUGAUGCAGGAGGGGAUGCAGGGAUGCAGGAGGUGAUGCAGGAGGGGAUGCAGGGGGCAGUGCCUCCGAAUGCUUUGUGUUGCUGCCUCCUCCUGCCGGCGCCGCUCACUGUGCCGCUCUC